GAAGCGAACGCGGUGAACUGAAACAUCUAAGUAACCGCAGGAAAAGAAAUCAACCGAGAUUCCCAAAGUAGUGGCGAGCGAAAUGGGAUGAGCCUUGCACUCUUUAUUUGUAUUGUUAGCCGAACGCUCUGGAAAGUGCGGCCAUAGCAGGUGAUAGCCCUGUAGGCGAAAACAGUAUGAAAGAACUAGGUGUGCGACAAGUAGGGCGGGACACGUGAAAUCCUGUCUGAAGAUGGGGGGACCAUCCUCCAAGGCUAAAUACUCGUGAUCGACCGAUAGUGAACCAGUACCGUGAGGGAAAGGCGAAAAGAACCCCGGGAGGGGAGUGAAAUAGAUCCUGAAACCGCAUGCAUACAAACAGUCGGAGCCUCGUAAGGGGUGACGGCGUACCUUUUGUAUAAUGGGUCAGCGACUUACGUUCAGUAGCAAGCUUAACCGUAUAGGGCAGGCGUAGCGAAAGCGAGUCCGAAUAGGGCGUUCAGUUGCUGGGCGUAGACCCGAAACCAGGUGAUCUAUCCAUGGCCAGGAUGAAGGUGCGGUAACACGUACUGGAGGUCCGAACCCACUAACGUUGAAAAGUUAGGGGAUGAGCUGUGGAUAGGGGUGAAAGGCUAAACAAACCUGGAAAUAGCUGGUUCUCUCCGAAAACUAUUUAGGUAGUGCCUCGUGUCUCACCUUCGGGGGUAGAGCACUGUCAUGGUUGGGGGGUCUAUUGCAGAUUACCCCGCCAUAGCAAACUCCGAAUACCGAAGAGUGCAAUCACGGGAGACAGACAUCGGGUGCUAACGUCCGGUGUCAAGAGGGAAACAACCCAGACCGCCAGCUAAGGUCCCCAAAUAUAGCUAAGUGGGAAACGAAGUGGGAAGGCUAAAACAGUCAGGAGGUUGGCUUAGAAGCAGCCACCCUUUAAAGAAAGCGUAAUAGCUCACUGAUCGAGUCGUCCUGCGCGGAAGAUGUAACGGGGCUAAGCUAUAUACCGAAGCUGCGGAUGCGUGCUUGCACGCAUGGUAGGAGAGCGUUCCGUAAGCCUGCGAAGGUGCCUUGUAAAGGGUGCUGGAGGUAUCGGAAGUGCGAAUGCUGACAUGAGUAGCGAUAAAGGGGGUGAAAGGCCCCCUCGCCGUAAGCCCAAGGUUUCCUACGCAACGUUCAUCGGCGUAGGGUGAGUCGGCCCCUAAGGCGAGGCAGAAAUGCGUAGCUGAUGGGAAGCAGGUCAAUAUUCCUGCACCAUUGUUAGAUGCGAUGGGGGGACGGAUCGCGGAAGGUUGUCCGGGUGUUGGAAGUCCCGGUCGCUGCAUUGGAGAAGGCGCUUAGGCAAAUCCGGGCGCGCAAUUCAAGGGUGUGGCGCGAGCUCCUUAGGGAGCGAAGCAAUUGGAAGUGGUUCCAAGAAAAGCCUCUAAGCUUCAGUCUAACGAUGACCGUACCGCAAACCGACACAGGUGGGCGAGAUGAGUAUUCUAAGGCGCUUGAGAGAACUCGGGAGAAGGAACUCGGCAAAUUGGUACCGUAACUUCGGGAUAAGGUACGCCCUUGUAGCUUGACUGGCCUGCGCCAGGAGGGUGAAGGGGUUGCAAUAAACUGGUGGCUGCGACUGUUUAAUAAAAACACAGCACUCUGCAAACACGAAAGUGGACGUAUAGGGUGUGACGCCUGCCCGGUGCCGGAAGAUUAAAUGAUGGGGUGCAAGCUCUUGAUUGAAGUCCCGGUAAACGGCGGCCGUAACUAUAACGGUCCUAAGGUAGCGAAAUUCCUUGUCGGGUAAGUUCCGACCUGCACGAAUGGCGUAACGAUGGCCACACUGUCUCCUCCCGAGACUCAGCGAAGUUGAAGUGUUUGUGAUGAUGCAAUCUACCCGCGGCUAGACGGAAAGACCCCAUGAACCUUUACUGUAGCUUUGCAUUGGACUUUGAACCGAUCUGUGUAGGAUAGGUGGGAGGCUAUGAAACCGGAACGCUAGUUUCGGUGGAGCCGUCCUUGAAAUACCACCCUGGUUUGUUUGAGGUUCUAACCUUGGCCCGUGAUCCGGGUCGGGGACAGUGCAUGGUAGGCAGUUUGACUGGGGCGGUCUCCUCCCAAAGCGUAACGGAGGAGUACGAAGGUACGCUAGGUACGGUCGGAAAUCGUGCUGAUAGUGCAAUGGCAUAAGCGUGCUUAACUGCGAGACCGACAAGUCGAGCAGGUGCGAAAGCAGGUCAUAGUGAUCCGGUGGUUCUGUAUGGAAGGGCCAUCGCUCAACGGAUAAAAGGUACUCUGGGGAUAACAGGCUGAUACCGCCCAAGAGUUCAUAUCGACGGCGGUGUUUGGCACCUCGAUGUCGGCUCAUCUCAUCCUGGGGCUGUAGCCGGUCCCAAGGGUAUGGCUGUUCGCCAUUUAAAGAGGUACGUGAGCUGGGUUUAAAACGUCGUGAGACAGUUUGGUCCCUAUCUGCCGUGGGCGUUGGAUAUUUGAAGGGGGCUGCUCCUAGUACGAGAGGACCGGAGUGGACGAACCUCUGGUGUACCGGUUGUCACGCCAGUGGCAUCGCCGGGUAGCUAUGUUCGGAAGAGAUAACCGCUGAAAGCAUCUAAGCGGGAAACUCGCCUUAAGAUGAGAUAUCCCUGGGGACUAGAUCCCCUUGAAGGGUCGUUCGAGACCAGGACGUUGAUAGGUC
rnacentral:rRNA from 1 species